rnacentral:rRNA from 1 species
AGGAUGAACGCUAGCUACAGGCUAACACAUGCAAGUCGAGGGGCAGCGAGAGAAGCUGCUUCCUGUCGGCGACCGGCGCACGGGUGAGUAACGCGUAUCCAACCUUCCCAUACUAGAGGAUAGCCCGGCGAAAGUCGGAUUAAUACUCUAUGUUGUAUUUCGAGGACAUCUGAAUAAUACCAAAGGUUUACCGGUAUGGGAUGGGGAUGCGUCUGAUUAGCUUGUCGGCGGGUAACGGCCCACCGAGGCGACGAUCAGUAGGGUUCUGAGAGGAAGGUCCCCCACAUUGGUACUGAGACACGGACCAAACUCCUACGGGAGGCAGCAGUGGGGAAUAUUGGUCAAUGGACGAGAGUCUGAACCAGCCAAGUAGCGUGCAAGGAUGACUGCCCUAUGGGUUGUAAACUGCUUUUAUGCGGGAAUAAAGUGAGGUACGUGUACCUUUUUGUAUGUACCGCAUGAAUAAGGACCGGCUAAUUCCGUGCCAGCAGCUGC